rnacentral:rRNA from 1 species
AUUGAACGCUGGCGGCAGGCCUAACACAUGCAAGUCGAACGGUAACAGGAAGCAGCUUGCUGCUUCGCUGACGAGUGGCGGACGGGUGAGUAAUGUCUGGGAAACUGCCUGAUGGAGGGGGAUAACUACUGGAAACGGUAGCUAAUACCGCAUAACGUCGCAAGACCAAAGAGGGGGACCUUAGGGCCUCUUGCCAUCGGAUGUGCCCAGAUGGGAUUAGCUAGUAGGUGGGGUAACGGCUCACCUAGGCGACGAUCCCUAGCUGGUCUGAGAGGAUGACCAGCCACACUGGAACUGAGACACGGUCCAGACUCCUACGGGAGGCAGCAGUGGGGAAUAUUGCACAAUGGGCGCAAGCCUGAUGCAGCCAUGCCGCGUGUAUGAAGAAGGACUUCGGGUUGUAAAGUACUUUCAGCGGGGAGGAAGGGAGUAAAGUUAAUACCUUUGCUCAUUGACGUUACCCGCAGAAGAAGCACCGGCUAACUCCGUG